GCCGGGCGACGGUUGUCCCGGUUUAAGCGUGUAGGGGGUGUGACCUGGUAAAUCCGGUUGCAUAUCAACCCUGAGGCGUGAUGACGAUGCACUACGGUGCAGAAGUAGUUGAUGCCCUGCUUCCAGGAAAAUCCUCUAAGCUCCAGGUAACAUUGAAUCGUACCCCAAACCGACACAGGUGGUCAGGUAGAGAAUACCAAGGCGCUUGAGAGAACUCGGGUGAAGGAACUAGGCAAAAUGGUGCCGUAACUUCGGGAGAAGGCACGCUGGCAUGUAGGUGAAGUCCCUUGCGGAUGGAGCUGAAGCCAGUCGAAGAUACCAGCUGGCUGCAACUGUUUAAUAAAAACACAGCACUGUGCAAACACGAAAGUGGACGUAUACGGUGUGACGCCUGCCCGGUGCUGGAAGGUUAAUUGAUGGGGUCAGCCGCAAGGCGAAGCUCUUGAUCGAAGCCCCAGUAAACGGCGGCCGUAACUAUAACGGUCCUAAGGUAGCGAAAUUCCUUGUCGGGUAAGUUCCGACCUGCACGAAUGGCGUAAUGAUGGCCAGGCUGUCUCCACCCGAGACUCAGUGAAAUUGAACUCGCUGUGAAGAUGCAGUGUACCCGCGGCAAGACGGAAAGACCCCGUGAACCUUUACUAUAGCUUGACACUGAACAUUGAGCCUUGAUGUGUAGGAUAGGUGGGAGGCUUUGAAGCGUGGACGCCAGUCUGCGUGGAGCCAUCCUUGAAAUACCACCCUU
rnacentral:rRNA from 1 species